UACGGAGGAUGCACGCGUUAUCCGGAAUGAUUGGGCGUAAAGCGUCCGCAGGUGGCAAUGUAAGUCUGCUGUCAAAGCGUCUGGCUCAACCAGAUAAAGGCAGUGGAAACUACAUAGCUAGAGUAAGGUAGGGGUAGAGGGAAUUCCUGGUGUAGCGGUGAAAUGCGUAGAGAUCAGGAAGAACACCGGUGGCGAAAGCGCUCUGCUGGACCUUAACUGACACUGAGGGACGAAAGCUAGGGGAGCGAAUGGG
rnacentral:rRNA from 1 species